rfam:Diplodia corticola strain CBS 112549 scaffold17, whole genome shotgun sequence.
UCUCGUGAUGAACACCAGAUAGGGACAACCGAUGCAAAGCAUUUGAGGAGACCCUGGGAGAAAAUUUUAGUAGAUGCUUCUCAUUUUCUGAUC